rnacentral:tRNA from 1 species
UUCCUGAUGGUCCAGUGGUAAGGACUUCUCUCUUCCACUGCAGGGGGCACAGGUUCAAUCCCUGAUUGGGGAA